AACAGGAUUAGAUACCCUGGUAGUCCACGCCGUAAACGAUGUCGACCAGCCGUUGGGUGCCUUGAGCACUUAGUGGCGCAGUUAACGCGAUAAGUCGACCGCCUGGGGAGUACGGCCGCAAGGUUAAAACUCAAAUGAAUUGACGGGGGCCCGCACAAGCGGUGGAGCAUGUGGUUUAAUUCGAUGCAACGCGAAGAACCUUACCUACCCUUGACAUCCUCGGAACCCUCUGGAGACAGAGGGGUGCCUUCGGGAACCGAGAGACAGGUGCUGCAUGGCUGUCGUCAGCUCGUGUUGUGAAAUGUUGGGUUAAGUCCCGUAACGAGCGCAACCCCUGUCCCUAUUUGCCAGCACGUGAUGGUGGGAACUCUAGGGAGACUGCCGGUGACAAACCGGAGGAAGGUGGGGACGACGUCAAGUCAUCAUGGCCCUUACGGGUAGGGCUACACACGUGCUACAAUGGCCGGUACAAAGGGAUGCAAGACGGCGACGUGGAGCGAAUCCCAGAAAGCCGGCCUCAGUUCGGAUCGGAGUCUGCAACUCGACUCCGUGAAGUCGGAAUCGCUAGUAAUCGUGAAUCAGAAUGUCACGGUGAAUACGUUCCCGGGCCUUGUACACACCGCCCGUCACACCAUGGGAGUGGACUGCACCAGAAGUGGUUAGCCUAACUUCGGAGGGCGAUCACCACGGUGUGGUUCAUGACUGGGGUGAAGUCGUAACAAGGUAACC
rnacentral:rRNA from 1 species